rnacentral:snoRNA from 1 species
UGGACAUUUAUUUUUAUUCAGUUUCUUCUCAAGGUGAAGACAACUCUUUGUAAAUGUCCUAGAGAAAUAUAGUAGCUCUCUGUUUGCCCUUUUUAAGUGAAAAGGGUGGAUCGUUCCACUACUGACAUUA